AUGGGUGGCGCGGCAGACGCCAAGAAGGCGCCCUUCGGCUCGUCGCUCGUGUCGGUGUUCAUGCACGCGGACGCAGCGGACGUGGCGCUCAUGGUGCUGGGCCUCGUGGGCGCCAUCGGCGACGGCGUCUCCACGCCGGCGAUGCUGCUCAUCACCAGCCGCAUCUUCAACGACCUCGGCAGCGGCCCCGACCUCCUCCAGGAGUUCAGCUCCAAGAUCGACGAGAACGCGAGGAACCUCGUCUUCUUGGCGCUGGGCUGCUGGGUCAUGGCGUUCCUAGAGGGGUAUUGCUGGUCACGGACGGCGGAGCGGCAGGCGUCCCGGAUGCGCGCGCGGUACCUGGCGGCGGUGCUCCGGCAGGACGUGGAGUACUUCGACCUCAAGGUGGGGUCGACGGCGGAGGUGAUCGCCAGCGUCUCCAACGACAGCCUGGUGGUGCAGGACGUGCUGAGCGAGAAGGUGCCCAACUUCGUCAUGAACGCCGCCAUGUUCUUCGGCAGCUACGCCGUGGCCUUGGCGCUGCUGUGGCGGCUCACCCUGGUGGCGCUGCCGUCGGUCCUGCUCCUCAUCAUCCCCGGCUUCAUGUACGGCCGCAUCCUCAUCGGCCUCGCGCGCCGGAUCAGGGAGCAGUACACGCGCCCGGGCGCCGUCGCCGAGCAGGCCAUCUCGUCGGUGCGCACCGUCUACUCCUUCGCGGCGGAGCGCGCCACCAUGGCGCAGUUCUCGGCGGCGCUCGAGGAGUCGACGCGGCUCGGGAUCAAGCAGGGGCUCGCCAAGGGCAUCGCCGUCGGCAGCAACGGCAUCACCUUCGCCAUCUGGGCCUUCAACGUCUGGUAUGGCAGCCGCCUCGUCAUGUACCACGGCUACCAGGGCGGCACCGUCUUCGCCGCCUCCGCCUCCAUCAUCCUCGGCGGCCUGGCGCUGGGGUCGGGGCUGUCGAACGUCAAGUACUUCUCGGAGGCGAGCGCGGCGGGGGAGAGGGUGCUGGCGGUGAUCCGGCGGGUGCCCAAGAUCGACUCGGGCAGCGACACCGGGGAGGAGCUGGCGAACGUGGCCGGCGAGGUGGAGUUCAAGAACGUGGAGUUCUGCUACCCGUCGCGGCCGGAGAGCCCCAUCUUCUCCAGCUUCUGCCUGCGCGUGCCGGCGGGUCGCACGGCGGCGCUGGUGGGCAGCAGCGGGUCCGGCAAGUCGACGGUGGUGGCGCUGCUGGAGCGGUUCUACGACCCGUUGGGCGGGGAGGUGGCGCUGGACGGCGUGGACAUCCGGCGGCUUCGGCUCAAGUGGCUGCGCGCGCAGAUGGGGCUGGUCAGCCAGGAGCCGGCGCUGUUCGCCACGUCCAUCAUGGAGAACAUCCUGUUCGGCAAGGAGGACGCGACGCCGGAUGAGGUCACCGCCGCCGCCAAGGCCGCCAAUGCGCACAACUUCAUCUCCCAGCUGCCGCAGGGCUACGACACACAGGUGGGUGAGCGUGGUGUCCAAAUGUCCGGAGGGCAGAAGCAGAGGAUUGCUAUUGCCAGAGCAAUCCUGAAGUCACCCAAGAUCCUCCUCCUUGAUGAAGCCACCAGUGCAUUGGAUACUGAGUCAGAGCGUGUCGUACAGGAGGCACUCGACCUGGCCUCUGUAGGCCGGACGACUAUCGUCGUUGCACAUCGCCUCUCCACUAUCCGCAAUGCUGACAUGAUUGCUGUCAUGCAGUACGGCGAGGUCAAGGAGCUGGGCUCCCAUGAAGAGCUCAUCGCCGAUGAGAAUGGCCUCUACUCAUCUCUAGUUCGCCUUCAGCAGACUAGAGAAUCGAAUGAGGUUGAUGAGGUCAGUGGAGCCGGCAGUACUUCUGCCGUGGGGCAGUCCAGUAGCCACAGCAUGAGCAGGAGAUUCUCCGCGGCUAGCAGGUCAAGCUCAGCCCGUUCAUUGGGUGAUGCAGGCGAUGCUGACCACACUGAGGAGGCAAAGCUUCCACUGCCGUCCUUCAGAAGGCUGCUUAUGCUUAAUUCACCAGAGUGGAGGCAGGCGCUUAUGGGAGGCUUCAGUGCAAUUGUGUUCGGAGGCAUCCAGCCUGCUUAUGCAUACGCCAUGGGAAGCAUGAUCUCAGUCUACUUCUUGACCGAUCACGACGAGAUCAGGGACAAAACAAGGGCCUACGCUCUCAUCUUUGUCGCCCUUGCAGUGCUCUCGUUCUUGAUCAAUAUUGGACAGCAUUACAACUUUGGUGCUAUGGGAGAAUACCUCACCAAGAGGAUCAGGGAACAGAUGCUAACAAAAAUCCUCACUUUCGAGAUCGGAUGGUUUGACCGUGAUGAAAACUCCAGCGGUGCCAUAUGCUCACAGCUUGCCAAGGACGCCAACGUGGUGAGGUCUCUAGUGGGUGACCGUAUGGCGCUGGUGAUCCAAACAGUUUCUGCGGUGCUUAUUGCUUGCACCAUGGGUCUGGUCAUUGCCUGGCGCCUGGCCCUUGUCAUGAUAGCAGUGCAGCCUCUCAUCAUCGUCUGCUUCUAUGCUCGUCGUGUCUUACUCAAGAGCAUGUCCAAGAAAUCAAUACAGGCACAAUCCGAAAGUAGCAAGCUAGCUGCUGAGGCUGUCUCCAAUCUACGCACAAUCACGGCCUUCUCAUCCCAGGACCGCAUCUUAGGCCUCUUCAACCAAGCACAGAACGGCCCACGGAAGGAAAGCAUCCGGCAGUCGUGGAUUGCAGGCCUUGGCCUUGGCACUUCCAUGAGCCUGAUGACAUGCACAUGGGCCCUGGAUUUCUGGUUUGGUGGCCGGCUCAUAGCUCAGCACCACAUUACUGCCAAGGCACUCUUCCAGACCUUCAUGAUUCUAGUAAGCACAGGGCGUGUGAUUGCUGAUGCAGGUAGCAUGACAACAGACCUAGCUAAGGGUUCUGAUGCAAUCGCCUCGGUGUUUGCUGUUCUCGACCGGGUAACAGAAAUCGACCCUGACAACCCUGAAGGAUACAAGCCAGAGAAGCUUAAAGGUGAAGUGGACAUCAGAGGAGUCGACUUUGCAUACCCGUCGAGGCCAGAUGUGAUCAUCUUCAAAGGAUUCUCUUUAAGCAUCCAAUCAGGCAAGUCAACAGCCCUGGUUGGGCAAAGUGGCUCUGGCAAGUCGACCAUCAUUGGGCUUAUAGAGCGAUUCUAUGACCCGGUGAGGGGAAUGGUAAAAAUUGAUGGCAGAGACAUCAAAACAUAUAAUCUUCGAGCCCUGCGGCGGCACAUUGGACUGGUCAGCCAGGAGCCAACGCUAUUUGCUGGCACAAUCAGAGAGAACAUUGUGUAUGGCACAGAAACAGCAAGUGAGGCAGAAAUUGAGAAUGCAGCAAGGUCCGCCAAUGCACAUGACUUCAUCAGCAACCUCAAGGAUGGAUAUGACACAUGGUGUGGCGAGAGAGGUGUUCAGCUGUCAGGAGGGCAGAAGCAGCGCAUUGCUAUUGCCCGUGCCAUCCUGAAGAACCCGGCCAUCUUGCUACUAGAUGAGGCUACCAGUGCACUGGACAGCCAGUCCGAAAAGGUGGUACAGGAGGCACUGGACAGAGUGAUGGUUGGCAGGACAAGUGUGGUGGUGGCACACAGGCUCAGCACAAUCCAAAACUGUGACCUCAUCACUGUGCUCGACAAAGGAAUUGUUGUGGAGAAGGGCACACACUCAUCCCUCAUGUCAAAGGGUCCCUCUGGAACAUAUUAUAGCUUGGUUAGUUUGCAACAAGGAGGCAACCAGAACUAA
rnacentral:rRNA from 1 species